AUAUUGAAAGUUGGGACUAUUUAUUUUAAAUGAAGUCCGUUUUUUUAUAUUUAAAUUUAUUGAUGGACUUUAAAAGAAAUAUUUUGGGAUUAAGCCCUCAUUUAUUAUAAUACCUCAAGGCUUUAUGAGUAUGGAUUUUUAAAAGGAUUAAAAUGGUUUAUUUAAGUUAUUUGUAAACGAAUAAUGGUGCAUGAUUUUUAUCUCUUAUGUGAGCGUGUGAUUUUAAAUGAUAUUAAGUUUAAGGAUAUUAAUUUCUUUUAUCUUGUUUGUUAUGUGAUUUACGUGAGGUCAUGAUUAGUCAAGUUAUGUUGGUUUUCAAUUGUCUUAAUGGAACGAACUAUGGAUGCUAGAACCCUAAAACUUUAAAAGAUACCCUAGGCACGUAGAAUUAGACUUUGUCUUAUGACAAUUUCUUCACGAACUUAUCGAUUCUUCAUCAAUGAAGGUUCGGGCGACAGAAAGUGAAGCCGAAGAAGUAGCAACUCCACGCCAGCUUUAAGAACGUUUAAGGUUGAGCAGGCGAUGGAAUGGUUUGGUGUUGAGCGGGAAUUCUUUUGAUGGAUAUGUAAUGAAACCUUGAGUAUGCAUCUCCAUAUGCAUAACUCACACGUUUUUCCGCUGCAAACACUCUGAAUUCGUUAUCGUAUUGUGGAACUUAUUACUCUUUCAUUUUGCUAAACUUUCACUUGUUCUAGUUGUUGUGGCAUAAUCGUCUGUAAAUUACCCAACCAGUUAUUUAUGUAUUUCUAGUUGGUUGAUUAAAUAUUAUCUCUUUGGA